rnacentral:lncRNA from 1 species
AAGCUACGUCGGUGCGGAGAAGGCACGAUCCAUUCUGUGCGGGGUUCUCCUGGCUCAGGAGCUUUGGAGGAUAGAGCGAUGUCGCCUUUUGUCAGCUGCGAAGCAAGAGCACAGUCUGACAGGCACCGUGCUAACCACCACUUCUUGUGUGACAAAAUUUUUCCAGGGGAUACUCAACACGACAAAUCAAAAUACCGAGACCACCCAAGUCCAACUUGGUGAACUACUAUUGGGAUUACUUGCAGGCAUAUGGGUGAGGGUUUACUUAACAAGAGCAGAAAUGACUUAGCUGAAAAACCAAGGCUCACCCCAGCAUGAGUGACAACUCACAAAAGCUGGGAACCUGAAACACUGCACAGCCUACAAGCAGCUCAACAGGUUGCAAUGAGUCCUUUCCAGGUGCCUCAGUUGGUCUACACCUUUCCAGGCAGCUCAGCUGGUUUCUGCUGCCUCCAGGUAGCUGGUCUGGCCUCAGAGUCGACUUUGUAGCUUUUUCCCCAACUCAGAAUCCUCAGUUUAGCGUCCUUCCAUCUGAGAAGGUCUCUCAGCUUUUAUCGUUUAUUCUGGCAGAGAGGAGCCUAAAGAAUCUGAUCCGUUUCGGGGACUUCCUGAAGCUAUUUUGAGUUGCUUAAAGAGCUUUUCUUGAGUUGUUUAAAGAGCUUCCCUGCAGAAGAAAACUGUUAGACACCACCACUCUGUCGGGAAGGCUUUGCUGAGGCCACCAGACAGUGGAGGACCUCUUGCAGUCUUGAAGGUUGGGAAAUAUAACACAGACUCUAACCCAUGUCUCCAAGUCCUUGCAGAAAGUGAAAACAUCGACAACUUACUCUUAUGAUUCAUCAUUACGCCUUCUUUCUCUAAGACCGUCUUAUUUAGAAUGUCUUCUCAAGUAUUCUACAGUUCACCCUCUGGUCCUGCGUGGGUUAGCCACUGUUCCUUCGGUUUAAUAAACAUGUCAGGGGAGCAGGGCAUGCCAGGCAUGUCCUUCUCUCAGUGGAAAAUAGUGCUUUCCAAAUAAAGCCAAAUCUUUGCACCC